GAUGCAGUCGAGUUGCAAACAAUAAAGUGAUAUUCGUCAACCACAAAAAUUUCGAAGUGCAUUUUGUCUGUAUAAAGAGUCCAGUUCUUGAAUACCUUUUCCGAAAUUGGAAAGCGCAAUGCUGUGAAACGUAUGUGGAAAAGAUAUGAAAAGAGCAUGCAAAAUUGGAUAAUAAACUUGGUUUUCCGUUGCCUCUCCUAUAAGGAAAUUUCCUGACGUACUUUGCGAAAAUAAGUCAUUCUAGAUAUUGUGUAUAAAGUUCCAUUACACUGAAGGGUAUAUUAGUUCUUGUGCAAUCUACAUCAAGAAUUCUGUUUGAAAUGAACAACGGGUUCCUGUGAAAAGUGUGGUCUUCGUAUUUCACUACAUAAAGAACUGCAAGAACGGUUGUUUAGAAUGAUGCAUCUUCAAGAACGAAAGUUGAAAUGCAGUUCUUUCUUACACUCAGCUAGUUGACUUCGGCUUACAAGGAUUUGGAAACACUGUCCAUGUUUUUAAUCUAAGAAGACUUGGAAAAUAAACUGUCAACUGAUGUUCUUCCGUUUUAGGUGAUAUAUUUCCAUUUAAACUUGUCUUAUUUGUAAGCAUUUUAGGACUAAGUCACAAGCAUUGUGUUGAAAUUGAAUUUGAUACGAAACUGAUAGCUUGCCGACAUUUCCUAAAAAGUGUGAGUGUAAAUAUCAGUGUUUUACGUGGAGUUAAAAGAACUGUAAUCUGCGAAGUAUAUAAGGAAAUUAGAAGUUCAAAUUGGUAUUUCAGUUAAACAGAUGAAUUUAAAAUUUACCAAAAUUGGAGUUAACUGAAAUCCGGAUCUACGUGCUCAUUGAAGGAUUUAGUACAGACUCAUAGGUGUUGAAUUCUCACCAGAUAAUUUGAGUCGCAGUAAAAGGUGUAGUGAAAUUGAUUUGAGCAGGAAAAAAUAAAUCAUUUAUUGUAACUUCUAAAACUGAAUGAUUUCUUCUCACCACUUCAGGUCUUUCCUGCAAUUAAAUGAAAGGAUUGCACUGUGGCUUAAUGUGUUUCGUUAAAUUUCAUUUACUAUCUAAGAAAUUACAGUAAAAUUUAUCUUAAAUAAUAUUUUAAAAGAUCUGGUACUAUAGUGAAAGUAAGACGGAUUUACUAUUUUGACCGAUUCGGUGAUCUUUCAGCUAUAAAUGAAAGGAGCUUAACAUUCGUGUCAUAAACCGAAAGUAAUUAAAAUUUAUAACUGUUGCAUUCAAAGAAAGCAUUGAUCAAAUUGAUCUUAAAAUGUCUGUUUUGUAACUCGAAGAAAUAGUUUAAAUAGAAGGCAUCUCUCGCUUCAUGUUGAUAUUAAUUUAUUCGAAUAUUUCAUAGAAGUUUCGAUAAGACCAAGACAUGGUCGUGCUGCGCACGGUGACGAUUUGGCUUCAACAUGAAUAUUUAGGCAUUUCACUCGCACGUUUAGGUCUUAAGUUAUGAUAGCGACUUGUUUAUAAAUCAUACUAUUGGGAAAGUUGCCAAAAUUUAAGAUGUAUGCCGUAUAAUUUAAAUAAGCUAGGAAUAUUUUAACCAUAAAAUUUUACUUUUCAUUCUAAUUAGGUACAUAAGUCAUAUCCUAUUGUAAAUAGUAAAUUAACUUCUAGUUCUGUGUUAAAGUAUCCAGUGACUUGAUGUAUAGGGAUAGUAUUAAACUUCAGAUUUCUUUACUAUUCUGGUGUUAAAAGUAUAAACUUCAACUUAUUUAGAGGUAGGAAUUUCGUAGGUAGUAUGUUAGAGUAAGGAAUAUACAAGACUGGAAUACAAAGAAUUCGUAAAACGUUUAGUAAGCAACUAGCAAUCGACUGAUCUUUCUACAGUAAGAAAAGGGAAGGGUUAGGAACCAGCCGGCUGGUAAGAGGGUGGGAUUUGCCAAAAUAGAAAACUGAAAUACCAUGUAGGCCACUACAAGCAGAAUUUCGCUUUAAUAACCUAUAAAUUAACAAACUAGUUACUAACCAACGGGAAAUUUAGAAGUUUAAUUUAUAUUUUUAAGUCCGGGAAAAGUGGAGAAAUCUGAAGUUCUUGAAAAAGGAGGCAGUGUUUUUAACCGUUCUAGUCUUUUUCCGUACGCGAUUAUUCUAGGGAAAUUAAGUACCGCGAAACGUUGGAUUCCAUAUGUGGAAAAUACAACGAAGAUUGGAUAAUUUUCAAAGCAAAAGUAAAAUGACACAUUAGUUUUAAAACAAUACGGAGAAUAGUUAUAAAAAUUUCAUUCUAGCUCUGAAUAUUCGUGUUUGGUUAAAAUCGUUACUUUGUGCAGUAUCGACCAAUUUGCAAGAUCAGAUUAGAUGAACGAUUUGGUGAAGUCCUUAAUUUCUUAAGAAAGCGAAUAAAUUAUUUCAUCUUAUAUUUUUCAUAUCAAUAUUGAGCAAGUAUGUGUUUUUUACUGUCUUCAGUAUAUUAAAAUCAAACGCUUUCCUUAUUAAGCACUAAAAUAAGCAAUUCAAUAAACAAAACUAAGACAUUGCAAGCAUUUCAUUACAAGUAAUAACAUGAAUACUACAAUUUACCAGAAAGCUAUAUUUCUAGGAAGAUAAUACUAUUCAAAAGGGGCUUCAA